UGUUAAGCCAUUAAUUGAGUAGUAUCACCAGAAACUCAAAGGGUUGAAACGUGUAACGGCCCCUUGUGUGUUGGGAAACAAGCUUCUGAAUAUUCA